UGUUUUAAUUUAUUAAUAUAGAUCAUAAUGAUCACUCAAAUUUACUGUAUUUCAGAUACCAGUGGAGUGAAUGUGACUCAUGUGUUCAUCAGUUCUGGUGAAAAUGUCCGUCUGCCCUGUAAUAAUGAUCUUUCUGACUGCACAUCAACUACAUGGACCUAUUUCAGACAUUCAGCAGCAGUUGAACUGAUUACUGAAGGGAUAAAGAAGAAAGACACAGAGAGACAUGAGAGUCUGAGUCUGGGGUCUGACUGCUCUCUGAACAUCAAGAACGUCACAGAAGAAGAUUAUGGAUUUUACACCUGCAGACAAUAUGAGAAUGGAGGAAAACAAUUAACUGAUGCAUGUGUUUCUCUGCAUGUUCUUCAUGGUAAUUUUAUGAUUAUGUGGUCAAUUUAAAAUGGGCAGAUUCUUCCUUUAAACUCAGAUGAUGAUUGAAGAGUCUGUGAUUUUCGUCUUGUGUUCAGUUUCAGUGUCUCCAUCAUCAUCUUCAUCAUCAUCAUCAUCCUCACAGACCGAGAUCAGUCCAGGCCGCUCUGUGACUCUCUCCUGUCAGUUGUAUUCAGUCUUCUGUGAUUAUUGGGUCCAUUCUGAUGAACUUCAUCUGUUGUGGGUGAAUCAGACUGGUGUUGAUCUGACGACAGACUCAAAAUAUCAGAUAUUAUUCUCAUUGGAUCACUGUAACAUCACUCUGACUACAACACUCCUGAAUGAAGAUGACAACAGAGAGUGGAGAUGUCAGCUUACUCACAGAAAUCAACUCCAGACCUCCGUCAGAUACACUGUCAAGUAUUCAGUCAGCAGCUCAAACUCUGAGAAGAAAUCAAGCCAAACUACAGCAGCAGCUCCUACACAAGAUUCAGCUGACACAGCAUCAGAAACUGAAGUCAGUGUGACUGCUGGAUCAUUAUUCAGAGUGAUUGUGAUCAUUGUUGAGAUGGCAGUGUUUGCUGCUCCUACUGUGAUUCUUCUUCAGAUCAUCUGUGCAAGAAGAGCUGGAAGGAAGGACUUGCAGCACUCAGAGCAAAUAGAGAUGCCUACGAUAUUACAAUAAAAUACUGCUGAGUUUGGAGACAAUCUGAAACAAGAUUUAAAACAGCAAAAACUCACAGAGGAUUGUUCAUUGUUUGAUUUUCUUCUCAGAAAACAGAGAAAAAAAUCUCCCUGAAGAAAUAGUGACGCCAUCAAGUUUAGAUUAAAAUAUAUUUUAGAAAUAAAAGGCCAGAUUUAUGUUUAUUUACA